rnacentral:lncRNA from 1 species
UGAAAAUGUAUAUUUUAGAGAGAGAAAGGGAAAGAUUGCGAUUUGGAUGCUUGUUGAGCGUGGCGGGAGUAGUGAGCAGAGAAAAAUAGAGAGGGAGAAUAGCAAAAGCAUUUCUUGAAGACAGAGCUCUCUCUUUCUCCUUCUCCUUCUUCUAGCAAGAACAUUUUAAAGCUUUCAAAUUUCUCUUUCACACCUCCGCAUCCACAUUUUCUCAUUCUUUAUUGCCUGCCCAUAUGACACCAUACUUAUUUCCCGAUCAAAAUUAUAAUUUUCUUGUUAAAAGGAGUUGAGAAUUUGGGAUUUCACUGUGAGAAAGAAAAGGAAGAAAUCAAGCGAUGACGAGGUCUGCAGUCGUUCAUGGGUAUGCUUUUGGGUUAGGGUUUGAGAGGAUCAGACAGUGAAGAUCGAUUUGGGGUGGCAGUGAAGAGUGGGGUUAGGGUUAGGGUUAGGGUUAGGGUUUUGUAAAGAGAAAUUGCUUGGGCUUACAACUAGUCCAUUGUUGGGAAUAAGUUUUUUGAUUAAUCCAUAUAGGUAUGCUUACGGGUAACUCAUUUCCCAGCCUCAGGAUUUAAUUCAAUAAUAUCGAAAAAUCUUCACAGCUCGUUUAACAAAAUGAAAACCCUGAUUUUUUUUUUCCAAGAAAUAUGGUUUUUAGAAAGAGAG